rnacentral:rRNA from 1 species
GAUCCUGGCUCAGAUUGAACGCUGGCGGCAUGCUUUACACAUGCAAGUCGAACGGCAGCACGGAGAGCUUGCUCUCUGGUGGCGAGUGGCGCACGGGUGAGUAAUACAUCGGAACGUGUCCGUGUUGUGGGGGACAACCGGUUCGAAAGACCGGCUAAUACCGCAUAAGACCUAAGGGUGAAAAGCGGGGGGACCUUCGGGCCUCGCGCAGUUGGAGCGGCCGAUGACUGAUUAGCUAGUUGUGGGG